rnacentral:rRNA from 1 species
GAAUGUUAUCACGGGAGACACACGGCGGGUGCUAACGUCCGUCGUGAAGAGGGAAACAACCCAGACCGCCAGCUAAGGUCCCAAAGUCAUGGUUAAGUGGGAAACGAUGUGGGAAGGCCCAGACAGCCAGGAUGUUGGCUUAGAAGCAGCCAUCAUUUAAAGAAAGCGUAAUAGCUCACUGGUCGAGUCGGCCUGCGCGGAAGAUGUAACGGGGCUAAACCAUGCACCGAAGCUGCGGCAGCGACGCUGAUGCGUUGUUGGGUAGGGGAGCGUUCUGUAAGCCUGCGAAGGUGACCUGUGAGGGUUGCUGGAGGUAUCAGAAGUGCGAAUGCUGACAUAAGUAACGAUAAAGCGGGUGAAAAGCCCGCUCGCCGGAAGACCAAGGGUUCCUGUCCAACGUUAAUCGGGGCAGGGUGAGUCGACCCCUAAGGCGAGGCCGAAAGGCGUAGUCGAUGGGAAACGGGUUAAUAUUCCCGUACUUGGUGUUACUGCGAAGGGGGGACGGAGAAGGCUAUGUUGGCCGGGCGACGGUUGUCCCGGUUUAAGCGUGUAGGUGUGUGUUCCAGGUAAAUCCGGUUCACUUUAACACUGAGGCGUGACGACGAGGCACUACGGUGCUGAAGCAACAAAUGCCCUGCUUCCAGGAAAAGCCUCUAAGCAUCAGGUAACAUCAAAUCGUACCCCAAACCGACACAGGUGGUCAGGUAGAGAAUACCAAGGCGCUUGAGAGAACUCGGGUGAAGGAACUAGGCAAAAUGGUGCCGUAACUUCGGGAGAAGGCACGCUGACACGUAGGUGAAGUGAUUUACUCAUGGAGCUGAAGUCAGUCGAAGAUACCAGCUGGCUGCAACUGUUUAUUAAAAACACAGCACUGUGCAAACACGAAAGUGGACGUAUACGGUGUGACGCCUGCCCGGUGCCGGAAGGUUAAUUGAUGGGGUCAGCGUAAGCGAAGCUCCUGAUCGAAGCCCCGGUAAACGGCGGCCGUAACUAUAACGGUCCUAAGGUAGCGAAAUUCCUUGUCGGGUAAGUUCCGACCUGCACGAAUGGCGUAAUGAUGGCCAGGCUGUCUCCACCCGAGACUCAGUGAAAUUGAACUCGCUGUGAAGAUGCAGUGUACCCGCGGCAAGACGGAAAGACCCCGUGAACCUUUACUAUAGCUUGACACUGAACAUUGAGCCUUGAUGUG